rnacentral:lncRNA from 1 species
GAGUCCCCCCUAUGCAAACUGGCAAAAACAUCUCGCAAUGAGCGUAGGGAUUGCUUUGUGAUGACUGAAAACGCUCUACCUCGGUUUACGCUCCUUAUUGGAGGGAGUAUGUGAAACUUGAAAUCAAGAAGAUUUUUGGGAAUGUCUACUAGUCGGUCGCCAAAUAAUAUGCGCGUUUCCACGAAGCACGAGACAGAAGUUUAGCUUGAAGGAAGGGCUACACUUUGUUGAGAACAUAUCAUGUGCAAUCAGAAAAUAUUCGGAGGCCUAUGUCUUGCCUAUUGUGAAAUGGUAGUCCGUUUGGG